CAGUAAAAAACAGCUGAUUCAAAGGGGGUGUAGCGGAUCUCAAAACUCUUCUGCGAAGGACUCAGUAAAAAACAGCUGAUUCAAAGGGGUGUAGCGGAUCUCAAAACUCUUCUGCGAAGGACUCAGUAAAAAACAGCUGAUUCAAAGGGGUGUAGCGGAUC